CAGCAGUCGCCACGGUAAUACAGAGGGUGCGAGCGUUAAUCGGAUUUACUGGGCGUAAAGCGUGCGUAGGCGGCUUCUUAAGUCGGAUGUGAAAUCCCUGAGCUUAACUUAGGAAUUGCAUUCGAUACUGGGAAGCUAGAGUAUGGGAGAGGAUGGUAGAAUUCCAGGUGUAGCGGUGAAAUGCGUAGAGAUCUGGAGGAAUACCGAUGGCGAAGGCAGCCAUCUGGCCUAAUACUGACGCUGAGGUACGAAAGCAUGGGGAGCAAACAGGAUUAGAUACCCCGGUAGUCCCUGUCUCUUAUAA
rnacentral:rRNA from 1 species